rnacentral:rRNA from 1 species
UCGACGGAGAGUUUGAUCCUGGCUCAGGACGAACGCUGGCGGCGGGCCUAAUACAUGCAAGUCGAACGCACUCGACCUUCGGGUCACAUGAGUGAGUGGCGAACGGGUGAGUAACACGUGAGAAACCUGCCCUGAAGACCGGAAUAACCCGAGGAAACUCGAGCUAAUACCGGAUAUCCCCAUCUGGUCGCAUGGCCUAAUGAGGAAAUGUUCAGGCGCUUCAGGAGGGUCUCACGGCCUAUCAGCUAGUUGGUGAGGUAACGGCUCACCAAGGCAUCGACGGGUAGCUGGUCUGAGAGGACGAUCAGCCACACUGGGACUGAGACACGGCCCAGACUCCUACGGGAGGCAGCAGUAGGGAAUCUUCCGCAAUGGGCGAAAGCCUGACGGAGCGACGCCACGUGGAUGAUGAAGGCCUUCGGGUCGUAAAAUCCUGUCAGAGGGGACGAUGGCUAGUCCUUGGACCGGUUGACGGUACCCUCAGAGGAAGCUCCGGCCAACUACGUGCCAGCAGCCGCGGUAAUACGUAGGGGGCGAGCGUUAUUC